GCACUUUGCAAAUAGCUCAGUUGGCAGAGCGUGAGACUCUUAAUCUCAGGGCUAUGGGUUUGAUCUCCACAUUGGGCA